CAAUAGCGUAUAUUUAAGUUGUUGCAGUUAAAAAGCUCGUAGUUGGAUUUCGGAUGGGAUUUGCCGGUCCGUCGUUACGAUGUGCACUGGCCAGUCCUAUCUUGUUGUCGGGGACUAGCUCCUUGGAUUCACUUCCUGGGACUAGGAGCUGACGAGGUUACUUUGAGUAAAUUAGAGUGUUCAAAGCAAGCCUACGCUCUGAAUACAUUAGCAUGGAAUAACACGAUAGGACUCUGGCUUAUCUUGUUGGUCUGUGAGACCAGAGUAAUGAUUAAGAGGGACAGUCGGGGACAUUCGUAUUUCAUUGUCAGAGGUGAAAUUCCUGGAUUUAUGAAAGACGAACUUCUGCGAAAGCAUUUGUCAAGGAUGUUUUCAUUAA
rnacentral:rRNA from 1 species